rnacentral:tRNA from 1 species
GCCUCUGUAGCUCAGUUGGUUAGAGCGCUGCACCGGAAUCGCAGGGCCGUAGGUUCAAUUCCUGCCAGAGGAC